rnacentral:tRNA from 1 species
GACGGUUUGGCCGAGUGGUCUCAGGUGCCAGAUUUAGGCUCUGGUCCUAAAGGGCGUGGGUUCAAAUCACAGCCAUCA